CUGAUCCCUUGCCGAACUCAGAAGUGAAACCGCUUAGCGCCGAUGGUAGUGUGGGGUCUCCCCAUGCGAGAGUAGGUCAUCGUCAGGC
rnacentral:rRNA from 1 species